rnacentral:rRNA from 1 species
AUGGCUAACAUGAAGCUACUAGCCGUGCUUGCUCUCGUGCAGCUCCUGUCACGCCUCCACGUCCAUGGCGUCUCCGCGUCCAUGGACAUGCCGACGGCGACGGCGACCAGCGGAGGCGGCAGCUGCCACGUCAGCGGAUACCUGCCGGGCCAAUCCGGCAACUGCAACCCGGAGCACGGCUCCACCUGCUGCGUCAACGGCCACCGGUACCCGCAGUACAAGUGCUCGCCCCCGGUGUCGGCCGAGACGCCGGCGAUCCUCACUAUAAACAGCUUCGCAGAAGGUGGAGACGGGGGCGGCAAAUCGUUCUGCGACAACCGCUAUCACAAGGACAGCGAGUUGGUGGUGGCACUGUCCACGGGGUGGCUGCGCCUGGACGGCACGAAUAGAUGCAACAAGAUGAUCCGUAUCAACGGGAACGGGCAGUCCGUGACGGCCAAGGUCGUCGACGAGUGCGACUCGGUGUACGGCUGUGACAAGGAGCACAAUUUCGAGCCGCCGUGCCCAAACAACGACGUGGACGCGUCGCCGGCCGUUUGGAAGGCGCUGGGCCUCAACGGGAACAUUGGAGAGUUCAAGGUCACUUGGUCUGAUGUGUGA